UACGAAGGGGGCUAGCGUUGCUCGGAAUUACUGGGCGUAAAGGGCGCGUAGGCGGAUAGUUUAGUCAGAGGUGAAAGCCCAGGGCUCAACCUUGGAAUUGCCUUUGAUACUGGCUGUCUUGAGUACGGGAGAGGUGAGUGGAACUCCGAGUGUAGAGGUGAAAUUCGUAGAUAUUCGGAAGAACACCGGUGGCGAAGGCGGCUCACUGGCCCGUUACUGACGCUCAGGCGCGACAGCGUGGGGAUCAAACAGG
rnacentral:rRNA from 1 species